rnacentral:rRNA from 1 species
AUUGAACGCUGGCGGCAGGCCUAACACAUGCAAGUCGAGCGGAGCGGCGGACGGGUGAGUAAUGUCUGGGAAACUGCCCGAUGGAGGGGGAUAACUUCUGGAAACGGGUGCUAAUACCGCAUACUACCUGAUGAGCCUAGGUGGGAUUAGCUAGUUGGUGGGGUAAAGGCCUACCAAGGCGACGAUCCGUCACUGGUCUGAGAGGAUGAUCGGUCACACUGGAACGGAGAAACGGUCCAGACUCCUACGGGAGGCAGCAGUGGGGAAUAUUGGACAAGGGGCGAAAGCCUGAUCAAGCCAUGCCGCGUGUGUGAAGAAGGUCUUCGGAUUGUAAAGCACUUUAAGUUGGGAGGCGUUACCAACAGAAUAAGCACCGGCUAACUUCGUGCCAGCAGCCGCGGUAAUUC